GACAGAGGGUGCAAACGUUGUUCGGAAUUACUGGGCGUAAAGCGCGUGUAGGCGGCCCUGCAAGUCGGAUGUGAAAUCCCACGGCUCAACCAUGGAAGUGCAUUCGAAACUGCAGAGCUAGAGUCCUGGAGAGGAAGGUGGAAUGCUUGGUGUAGAGGUGAAAUUCGUAGAUAUCAAGCGGAACACCGGUGGCGAAGGCGGCCUUCUGGACAGUGACUGACGCUGAGACGCGAAAGCGUGGGGAGCAAACAGG
rnacentral:ncRNA from 2 species